AUAAUAAUAAUUAAAAAAAAAUCUGUCAUACACCUCUUUUCUCUCAAACCUUGCUAUCCCUUUAUGCAACACCCAAAACCUAGAAUCAUUCCAUCAUAUUAACCAAAUCAACAACAAAACAAAAUCACACGUGUUUCAAGCAAACCCAUUUGCAUACAGAAAUAAAAAUUAAAAAAAAAAGAUUUAACCUAGAUGCAAUAUAAAUCAUCAUUCAUUACAAUAUGUAACAAUAUCAAUCACAAUCAAAUUUAACAA
rnacentral:misc_RNA from 1 species